GAGAGUCCCCUGUUCAGGGACACUGUUCUGACCCUGUAACUGAAGGGGAAGAUUCAUUUUAGUGCUUUGAGACCUGGAAGCAGUGUCUGCGGAAGGUGGCAGUUACAGAGCAUGAAGGUCGCGCUGGGAGAAGGAGGAGAGAGGUAGGGGCACGGCAGCCAGGGCGAUGUGCACCCCUCUGGUUCCGCGCUGGUGUGAACGUCCCAAAUCAAUGCCAGCCAGUCCGUGCUUCCUCUUUCUAACGUGCGCAGCAGUCCCCAGGCCCAGCACUCGCGGGGGUGCCAAGGAGCGGCCUGCUUGAGUCCGGCUUCGGAAGAUGCUGCAGCUUUUCUAAAGCUGCUGAACAAGGCACACGAUUCAGAGAACUAAGAAAAUUCUGUCAGUUUUUGGCCAUAAGACAGACUCCAAGUGGGAAGCGCUGCUUGUUAUUCUCAAGGCCUGUAUUGACGCUUCUGAUCCUUGACAGACAAUAUGCAGAUGAAUGGGGAGAGCCCACGAGCUAGGAUCCAGAGGGUGCGUUCAACUUCUAGUUAUAUCAGUAAGUUUUCCCAGCAAGGCCACUGAUGUCUUAACUUCAGUUUGCCCAUCUGUGAAAUGAA